rnacentral:rRNA from 1 species
UUGGAGGGCAAGUCUGGUGCCAGCAGCCGCGGUAAUUCCAGCUCCAAUAGCGUAUAUUAAAGUUGUUGCAGUUAAAAAGCUCGUAGUUGAAUUUCGGGGUUCUACCGUUGGUCGGGCUAUUGUCUGUACUGGCGUGUAGAAUUUCUACCUUCUGGGGAACUAUCAUGUUAUUAAUUUAGCGUGGUAGGAAACCAGGACCUUUACCUUGAAAAAAUUAGAGUGUUCAAAGCAGGCUUAUGUCUGAAUACAUUAGCAUGGAAUAAUAAAAUAGGACGGUGGUCCUGUUUUGUUGGUUUCUGAAUCACCGUAAUGAUUAAUAGGGAUAGUUGGGGGCAUUAGUAUUCAAUUGUCAGAGGUGAAAUUCUUGGAUUUAUUGAAGACUAACUACUGCGAAAGCAUUUGCCAAGGAUGUUUUCAUUAAUCAAGAACGAAAGUUAGGGGAUCGAAGACGAUCAGAUACCGUCGUAGUCUUAACCAUAAACUAUGCCGGCUAGGGAUCGGACGAUGUUAACUUUUCUUGACUCGUUCGGCGCCUUACGGGAAA